rnacentral:lncRNA from 1 species
CAUCACGACCAGGACAUCUCACACCCGAGAAAGCGAAAGCAAUGCUACAUGUCUCCUUUGGAAUCAACAAUUUGAAACGGUGACCACUGAGAACAUAUUCAACAACAGCUGGAAUCCUCCUCCCACUCCGGUGUAGGAAUGGCAAAAAGUCUCGAGACUUUUUGGCUGGUGCCUGGAAACAAACACAUGAUACUUUGAAUUCAUUCAAUAAGGUAAAAUGUGUCAUUAGUAACACUGGAAGGAUAGAAGAAAUUUAGUAUAAUGGAUGGUAAAGUUUCUUACUGUCAAAAGGUCUGUUACAUGCAUGACAGGAGGAUCCUUGGCAGAAUGAAUUCCCUUCUUUCCAGCAAUAGCACGUGAUUCAGCAGCAAGAAGUGCAUCAUAGUAGUUUGAUCUCUC